rnacentral:rRNA from 1 species
AGCCUGAUGCAGCCAUGCCGCGUGUGUGAAGAAGGCCUUCGGGUUGUAAAGCACUUUCAGCGAGGAGGAAAGGUUAGCGGUUAAUACCCGCUAGCUGUGACGUUACUCGCAGAAGAAGCACCGGCUAACUCCGUGCCAGCAGCCGCGGUAAUACGGAGGGUGCGAGCGUUAAUCGGAAUUACUGGGCGUAAAGCGCAUGCAGGCGGCCAAGUCAGUCAGAUGUGAAAGCCCCGGGCUUAACCUGGGAAUUGCAUUUGAUACUGCUUGGCUAGAGUCCUUGAGAGGGGGGUAGAAUUUCAGGUGUAGCGGUGAAAUGCGUAGAGAUCUGAAGGAAUACCAGUGGCGAAGGCGGCCCCCUGGCAAGAGACUGACGCUCAGAUGCGAAAGCGUGGGGAGCAAACAGGAUUAGAUACCCUGGUAGUCCACGCCGUAAACGAUGUCUAUUAGGAGUCUGUGGCCUUGAGCUGUGGGUUCCAAAGCUAACGCAUUAAAUAGACCGCCUGG